UGGCCACCGUUCCAAUCCACCAGCAUCAAAAACCCAGCUCCAGCAAAAUCCUAUACAUUUAGGUGACAGGAACCUAUCAAUAUAAGGUUGUCCCCCUGGAAGCACAUCACAAGCAGCUAACAAAAAACCUCAAUGAACCAAAACUAAUGCUUCAAAACACAAACAUAAAUGAUCAUUCUCAC